rnacentral:rRNA from 1 species
UACGUAGGAUGCAAGCGUUGUCCGGAAUUAUUGGGCGUAAAGAGCGCGCAGGCGGUAUGACAAGUCAGAUGUGAAAGAGGCCGGCUUAACCGGCAAGGGUCAUUUGAAACUGUCAGACUAGAGUGCAGCAGAGGAUAGUGGAAUUCCCGGUGUAGUGGUGAAAUGCGUAGAUAUCGGGAGGAACACCAACAGCGAAGGCAGAUCUCUGGGACGUAACUGACGCUGAGACGCGAAAGCGUGGGGAGCAAACAGGG